GUAGGUGGCAAGCGUUGUCCGGAAUUAUUGGGCGUGAAGCGCGCGCAGGCGGUUCUUUAAGUCUGAUGUGAAAGCCCACGGCUCAACCGUGGAGGGUCAUUGGAAACUGGAGAACUUGAGUACAGAAGAGGAAAGCGGAAUUCCACGUGUAGCGGUGAAAUGCGUAGAGAUGUGGAGGAACACCAGUGGCGAAGGCGGCUUUCUGGUCUGUAACUGACGCUGAGGCGCGAAAGCGUGGGGAGCAAACAGGAUUAGAUACCCUGGUAGUCCACGCCGUAAACGAUGAGUGCUAAGUGUUAGGGGGUUUCCGCCCCCCUUAGUGCUGCAGCUAACGCAUUAAGCACUCCGCCUGGGAGUACGGCCGCAAGGCUG
rnacentral:rRNA from 1 species